AACUACAAUGAAACUAUUAGAGAGGUAAAGCAUUUUGUAAUUUCUGGUUGCAUCGCAUAUGCCAGUUCAUAUUUUCAUUUAUCGGUAUUGUCUGCUGUAAAUUGUUUCAUUUUUCCAUUAAAUUUAUUAGUAGUGUAGAAAAUUAAGAAAUAAAAACAAUAAAAACAUGAUAUAUACAUACAUACAUACAUACAUAUGUAUGUAUGUGGGUAGGAACAUUGGUUUAGUUAGAAACCCUAUCUAUAGGUGCUGUUAAAAAACCAUUUGAAAAUAGAUGUUUAGUUGUGUUGGAGUUUUUAUGGCUAAAACAUGUCAAGUUUAACUUUGAACUGAUUUUUAACACCCUCUAACUAAGGUGCUUUUCUCAACAAGAGCUCCGCUCGAACAACAAUGCCAAAUUGACCCUAAGUUGUUUAUCUAUUCCAGAUAAAUAAGAGUGUUGUAUGAUUGAUUCUUGGUAUCCUAGAACAUCGUUUUGGAUGUUUACCUUCUUAUGACAUUUUUUUAAAGAUAGGAACAAUUAUUCAAUUUUGUUGAGUUCUUGGUGUAAAAAGAAGUUGUAGACGGGCAUAUUGAUGAUUUUAUUCUCCUUUCAUUUACCAUGGUCAUUUUUUCUUGAAGAUGCUAUUGUAAGGCUUACAAUUUUGUUAUGCUAUUAUAUUUUAUGGAUGUCUGAAUUGCCUAAGCAUUCAGUAGCAAGGAUUAAGGCUUUUGUCAAUUGAGUUGAUUUACAUUAGAAUUAUGAAUCACAAUAAAAGUAUUAAAUUUGGUUGCUGCAUUUUGUUUAUAUUGUUAUAUGGCUCAACCGUUUUACUUCAGAUGUUUCCCAAAUUAUUGUACCUUGUGUGAUAUGUGAUAUGCAAGGACUUUGUCACUUGGCAUGUAUUAAUUAUCUGUUGCAAGGUGGAGGGAAAUUGUUUACUACAUACGAUAGAUUUAUUUGAUCCAAAACCAUCUGGAGUUUCAAGAUACCAUUAUACGUAAUUGUUCAGCGUACAUGUCUCUUUCAUCAUUUUCUCUUCAAUAUUCCUUUGUUGAAAUAUGUUCAAAUAAGUUUCUAAUUAAUAUAUUCUUCUGCAGCUAUGGUAGGGUUGAAGAACUA
rnacentral:misc_RNA from 1 species